rnacentral:rRNA from 1 species
GACGAACUUUGGCGGCGUGCUUAACACAUGCAAGUCGAACGGAAAGGCCCUGCUUUUGUGGGGUGCUCGAGUGGCGAACGGGUGAGUAACACGUGAGUAACCUGCCCUUGACUUUGGGAUAACUUCAGGAAACUGGGGCUAAUACCGGAUAGGAGCUCCUGCUGCAUGGUGGGGGUUGGAAAGUUUCGGCGGUUGGGGAUGGACUCGCGGCUUAUCAGCUUGUUGGUGGGGUAGUGGCUUACCAAGGCUUUGACGGGUAGCCGGCCUGAGAGGGUGACCGGCCACAUUGGGACUGAGAUACGGCCCAGACUCCUACGGGAGGCAGCAGUGGGGAAUAUUGCACAAUGGGCGGAAGCCUGAUGCAGCAACGCCGCGUGCGGGAUGACGGCCUUCGGGUUGUAAACCGCUUUCGCCUGUGACGAAGCGUGAGUGACAGUAAUGGGUAAAGAAGCACCGGCUAACUACGUGCCAGCAGCCGCGGUGAUACGUAGGGUGCGAGCGUUGUCCGGAUUUAUUGGGCGUAAAGGGCUCGUAGGUGGUUGAUCGCGUCGGAAGUGUAAUCUUGGGGCUUAACCCUGAGCGUGCUUUCGAUACGGGUUGACUUGAGGAAGGUAGGGGAGAAUGGAAUUCCUGGUGGAGCGGUGGAAUGCGCAGAUAUCAGGAGGAACACCAGUGGCGAAGGCGGUUCUCUGGGCCUUUCCUGACGCUGAGGAGCGAAAGCGUGGGGAGCGAACAGGCUUAGAUACCCUGGUAGUCCACGCUGUAAACGGUGGGUACUAGGUGUGGGGUCCAUUCCACGGGUUCCGUGCCGUAGCUAACGCUUUAAGUACCCCGCCAGGGGAGUACGGCCGCAAGGCUAAAACUCAAAGGAAUUGACGGGGCCCCGCACAAGCGGCGGAGCAUGCGGAUUAAUUCGAUGCAACGCGUAGAACCUUACCCGGGUUUGACAUGGAUCGGGAGUGCUCAGAGAUGGGUGUGCCUCUUUUGGGGUCGGUUCACAGGUGGUGCAUGGCUGUCGUCAGCUCGUGUCGUGAGAUGUUGGGUUAAGUCCCGCAACGAGCGCAACCCUUGUUCACUGUUGCCAGCACGUUAUGGUGGGGACUCAGUGGAGACCGCCGGGGUCAACUCGGAGGAAGGUGGGGAUGACGUCAAGUCAUCAUGCCCCUUAUGUCCAGGGCUUCACGCAUGCUACAAUGGCUGGUACAGAGAGUGGCGAGCCUGUGAGGGUGAGCGAAUCUCGGAAAGCCGGUCUCAGUUCGGAUUGGGGUCUGCAACUCGACCUCAUGAAGUCGGAGUCGCUAGUAAUCGCAGAUCAGCAACGCUGCGGUGAAUACGUUCCCGGGGCU